rnacentral:sRNA from 1 species
UUUGCCUGAAGAAAGGUGACUUCUAACAACUGUCUGUGAUUCUCAGAAAGCUCUACUGGUUGGAUGCCCGCCUGGAUGGCCUCUUUGUCUCUGACCUCAAUGGUGGACACCGCCGCAUGCUGGCCCAGCACUGUGUGGAUGCCAACAACACCUUCUGCUUUGAUAAUCCCAGAGGACUUGCCCUUCACCCUCAAUAUGGGUACAUCUACUGGGCAGACUGGGGUCACCGCGCAUACAUUGGGAGAGUAGGCAUGGAUGGAACCAACAAGUCUGUGAUUAUCUCCACCAAGUUAGAGUGGCCUAAUGGCAUCACCAUUGAUUACACCAAUGAUCUACUCUACUGGGCAGAUGCCCACCUGGGUUACAUAGAGUACUCUGAUUUGGAGGGCCACCAUCGACACACGGUGUAUGAUGGGGCACUGCCUCACCCUUUCGCUAUUACCAUUUUUGAAGACACUAUUUAUUGGACAGAUUGGAAUACAAGGACAGUGGAAAAGGGAAACAAAUAUGAUGGAUCAAAUAGACAGACACUGGUGAACACAACACACAGACCAUUU